GAUGGACUCGAACACACCCGCAAUCUCUCCGGUGACCUCGUCGUACUUGGCCACGUUGAACACGGCGGAGCCCUUGAGGGCGGCGACGUUCUUGUUGUUCUCCUUGAGGAGCUCGUCGGCGUCGGACUUGGCGGGGAGGGCGACGGCGUUGUCGUAACCGGUGGAACCGCCGCGGCCCUUGGGGUCGAGGAAGGAGGAGCCGCGGUAGGAGGGCACGACAAAGUCACCGCCGAACUGGGAGGUGUUACCCUUGCCGGUGAACUCCUUGAGGGUGAAGAGGAAGGGGACGCGCUCGCCGCCGGGAAGCUGGACGGUGACGGGGGCGUAGUCCAGGCCGUCGCGCUCCUGCACGGCGACGGAGCCGUCGGAGCCAACCUUGAACGAGCCGGUCAUGCCGUCGAGGGUGUAGGUGAGGCGGGUCAUGAGCUUGGUCUUGACAAACUCGGACUCGCCAGCCUUGAAGGCGGACUCCUCCUUGACGGUGAAGGAGGUGGGCUCCAUGCAGAACUUCUCGAGGGCGUAGUCGCCGCCCUUGAUGGACGAGCCGGAGCCGCCCGUCUCAACCACGGGGCAGGUGUUGGCGAGGCCGGUGCCCUUGACCUGGAGGUAGGUGAGGCCCUGGAGCUCGUCGUAGGUCACGGCCUGGGCGGACUGCGGGAGGAAGAAGAGGGGGUUGAGGGGGGGAUGCGAGGUUAGUUAUAAAGGGUCGUCUCGCGGCGGGCGUUGUUGGUUUUGGGAAAUUCGUGCCCACGGGUCGCGCCAGGCGUGGGACGCGUGUCGUCAAAAAAAAGCCGAGAGCCGGGGUGCUGGCGGGGCCCGAAUCGGCGGACGCGACGCGCGAACGGCGGCCGUGCCGCGCGCGGAGACGCGCGUUGGUUCGAUCGCGGUCGCCCGACGCCGGCUCCGGUGUUUGGCGCGCCCGCCGCGCCCCGGCGGGCGUGGAUACGGUUGCACGCAUCGCGGGAAUGAUUAUAUCGCUGGGAAAUAACGUACCCCGGCAGCGAGAGUGAGCGCGGCGAGGCCGGAGAGGGCGGCCUUGCCGGCCUUCUCAACCUUCUCGACGAAAGCGGGCUUGGCGGCGGAGCACUUGACCGCGGUGCUGUUGCGAACGGGGUGAACGGGGUUGGAAUCGUCAGUCGCGCGUCUCGCGCGGAGGGAUAGGGCGGGCGGUUGCUGAGACCCAAUCGGGAGAACCCGCUGGCACUGACGAAGAUCGGUGCGCUGCCGGAGCGGUCGUCGCGACGCGUCCGCGCGGCCGAAAACCUCCCGGCGAACCCGUCGAACCUCGCGAGGAAGACGUCGCGGUAGUCGGUGACCGCGCGCGCGCGCGAACACGCGCUCGCGCGGUCGCGCAGCGCGCCGGACACGCUCCCUAUCUACCCCGGGGAUGCACCGGGUGGCGAAAUCUUACUCGCUAGAUUUCUCCACCCUAAAGAAAGCGGGACGGGGUUUGGUCGCCGGAAAACGC
rnacentral:lncRNA from 1 species